ACUUAAAUUGAAGAGUUUGAUCAUGGCUCAGAUUGAACGCUGGCGGCAGGCCUAACACAUGCAAGUCGAGCGGCAGCGGGAAAGUAGCUUGC
rnacentral:rRNA from 1 species